rnacentral:rRNA from 1 species
AACGAACGCUGGCGGCAGGCUUAACACAUGCAAGUCGAACGCACCUUCGGGUGAGUGGCGCACGGGUGAGUAAUACAUGGGAACGUACCUUGGAGUACGGGAUAACUGCGGGAAACUGCAGCUAAUACCGUAUAUUCCCUCAGGGGGAAAGAUUUAUCGCUCCAAGAUCGGCCCAUGCCAGAUUAGUUUGUUGGUGGGGUAAAAGCCUACCAAGACUACGAUCUGUAGCUGGUCUGAGAGGACGACCAGCCACACUGGAACUGAGACACGGUCCAG